UAAGACGGGGGGGGCGAGCGUUGUCCGGAAUUACUGGGCGUAAAGCGCGCGUAGGCGGUCGCCUACGGCGGUGGUGAAAGCUCCCGGCUCAACUGGGAGAGGCCCGCCGCAACGGGGCGACUCGAGGGAGGUAGAGGCGGAUGGAAUUCCUGGUGUAGCGGUGAAAUGCGUAGAGAUCAGGAGGAACACCCGUGGCGAAGGCGGUCCGCUGGGCCUUGCCUGACGCUGAGGCGCGAAAGCGCGGGGAGCGAACGGG
rnacentral:rRNA from 1 species